rnacentral:rRNA from 1 species
UAGAUUUUAGGAGGAACACCAGUGGGGAAGGCGGCCUUUCCUGGACCAUAACUCACGCUGAAGGCGCGAAAAGCCUUGGGGAGCAAACAGGAAUUAGAUACCCUUGGUAGUCCACGCCUAAACGAUGAAAUACUAGGUGUGGGGGGACUGACCCCCUCCGUGCCGCAGUUAACACAAUAAGUAUUCCACCUGGGGAGUACGAUCGCAAGGUUGAAACUCAAAGGAAUUGACGGGGGCCCGCACAAGCAGUGGAUUAUGUGGUUUAAUUCGAAGCAACGCGAAGAACCUUACCGGGGCUUGACAUCCAACUAACGAAGUAGAGAUACAUUAGGUGCCCUUCGGGGAAAGUUGAGACAGGUGGUGCAUGGUUGUCGUCAGCUCGUGUCGUGAGAUGUUGGGUUAAGUCCCGCAACGAGCGCAACCCUUAUUGUUAGUUGCUACGCAAGAGCACUCUAACGAGACUGCCGUUGACAAAACGGAGGAAGGUGGGGACGACGUCAAAUCAUCAUGCCCCUUAUGUCCCGGGCUACACACGUAAUACAAUGGCGUCCAACAGAGGGAAGCAAUACCGCGAGGUGGAGCAAAUCCCCAAAAGACGUCUCAGUUCGGAUUGCAGGCUGCAACUCGCCUGCAUGAAGUCGGAAUUGCUAGUAAUCGCGGAUCAGCAUGCCGCGGUGAAUACGUUCCCGGGCCUUGUACACACCGCCCGUCACACCAUGAGAGUCGGGAACACCCGAAGUCCGUAGUCUAACCGUAAGGAGGGCGCGGCCGAAGGUGGGCUUGAUAAUUGGGGUG